GAGUUUUGGGGCGGCCGCUCGGUGUCGCGGCGGGUGACCCGGUUCGUGAGGCGAAGCCUCGCACGGAGAUUGACGGUCUGAGUGGUUCUUGUGGAAAUCUACCCUUCGCAUUUCACCCUGUUUCAUCAGCAUCCCCCCGCCAGCCCCUGGCUGUGCGAGGUUAGUCCUCGCUUGUCUCUGUACAACCGAGUCCCUGGUGUUCUGUACAAUACAAACCAUAAGGGUGCAGAUUUAAAAAAUAUUCAGAGUUUUAUAUUCAAGAUUUAUAGUUGUUAACUCUAAAAAUUAUGAGUAAAUAACCCACCUCAGCAACAGUUGUUUGGCGCAAAAUAACUUUAAAGUAGGCAGGAAGCCUCUCUAGGUCUGCAAAGGCAGGACUGAGACACCUGUGAGCUCGGCGUGCAGAGGGCUCAAACUGCUGUGCUAAUGGCAAACAGAGCUAGCUUAGGUUUCAAGGUUUACUGACUCGAGUGUUGACUCUAUUCGGGAAGAAAACAGGAAAAAUACACUGUUACCUCAUAGCUGGCUGAUAAAUACGUCUGCCUUACAAGCGAGUGAACAUUUGGAAGACCAGAAUGACUAUGUCUGUAGGGAUAACAUAACCAGGGUAAGAAAAGCUUUCUGAAAACAGCUGCUGAUAAUGGAAGCUAUUCCAAAGUGUUAAGAAAAUAAAGAUGCAAAAGAUGGAGUCUAUCUGAUUUCCUUGUGAUUCAGACACACUGAAGAAACACUGAGGACUCUCUAUCCCCUCUAAAAAGCAGCUCAGUGCAAAUUUAACCCCUGGAGCAGUGCCUGGUUUGUCUUUAGCUCCAGAGCAAGCAGAGGUAACCAGCCAAGAGCAACUACCCCAGAGCUAAGGGGAGUAAAAGGCAUUGAAGCCAAGCCUGGCAAAUGCAGCUUCUGCUGGAAUGGCUGGGCGAUCAAUGGCAACGCGGCUCCAGCGCACCUCUGCAUUGUGCGGAUGGGAGGGGCCUUUCUGCUGGCAGAAAAUACAUUGUGUUCUAAACUGUGUCUGAGCUGGAGUCCCACACUGCAGCAGCUAAAUGGAGCUCUGAAAAUAUUUUGUUACAGUUCUUUACUGUUACCUUUGGAACAAGGGUAAUAUGUAUCUGCAGUGCUGAGUUCUUAUCAGCACAACUGGAAUGGGAAAAAAGUGCGGUUUAAUUGCAACCAAUGAAUGUUCAGCAGCUCUAAGUCAUUACUGACUGACUUCACUAAGACUACCCCAAAAGCUCUUUAAGGCCCUGUCUGUUCUUAGGCUGCACAAGAUCCCUCUGUGCACCCCCGCUCUGAAAGCCUCCUCAGGAACUGUGCAGAUUUGG
rnacentral:lncRNA from 12 species